rnacentral:rRNA from 2 species
AGUGAACGCUGGCGGCGUGCUUAACACAUGCAAGUCGAACGAGAACGGAUUAUAGCUUGCUAUAAUUGUCAGCUAAGUGGCGCACGGGUGAGUAAUGUAUAGGUAAUAUGCCUCUUACUAAGGGAUAACAAUUGGAAACGAUUGCUAAUACCUUAUAUUCCUUUUUAUCAAAAGAUAAAAAGGGAAAGAUUUAUUGGUAAGAGAUUAGCCUGUAUUGUAUCAGUUAGUUGGUGGGGUAAUGGCCUACCAAGACUAUGACGCAUAACUGGUUUGAGAGGAUGAUCAGUCACACUGGAACUGAGACACGGUCCAGACUCCUACGGGAGGCAGCAGUGGGGAAUAUUGCACAAUGGACGAAAGUCUGAUGCAGCAACGCCGCGUGGAGGAUGACACAUUUCGGUGCGUAAACUCCUUUUAUAUAAGAAGAUAAUGACGGUAUUAUAUGAAUAAGCACCGGCUAACUCCGUGCCAGCAGCCGCGGUAAUACGGAGGGUGCAAGCGUUACUCAGAAUCACUGGGCGUAAAGAGCGUGUAGGCGGAUUGAUAAGUUUGAAGUGAAAUCCUAUAGCUUAACUAUAGAACUGCUUUGAAAACUGUUAAUCUAGAAUGUGGGAGAGGUAGAUGGAAUUUCUGGUGUAGGGGUAAAAUCCGUAGAGAUCAGAAGGAAUACCGAUUGCGAAGGCGAUCUACUGGAACAAUAUUGGCGCUGAGACGCGAAAGCGUGGGGAGCAAACAGG